CCCUGGUAGUCCACGCCGUAAACGAUGUCGACUUGGAGGUUGUGCCCUUGAGGCGUGGCUUCCGGAGCUAACGCGUUAAGUCGACCGCCUGGGGAGUACGGCCGCAAGGUUAAAACUCAAAUGAAUUGACGGGGGCCCGCACAAGCGGUGGAGCAUGUGGUUUAAUUCGAUGCAACGCGAAGAACCUUACCUGGUCUUGACAUCCACGGAAGUUUUCAGAGAUGAGAAUGUGCCUUCGGGAACCGUGAGACAGGUGCUGCAUGGCUGUCGUCAGCUCGUGUUGUGAAAUGUUGGGUUAAGUCCCGCAACGAGCGCAACCCUUAUCCUUUGUUGCCAGCGGUCCGGCCGGGAACUCAAAGGAGACUGCCAGUGAUAAACUGGAGGAAGGUGGGGAUGACGUCAAGUCAUCAUGGCCCUUACGACCAGGGCUACACACGUGCUACAAUGGCGCAUACAAAGAGAAGCGACCUCGCGAGAGCAAGCGGACCUCAUAAAGUGCGUCGUAGUCCGGAUUGGAGUCUGCAACUCGACUCCAUGAAGUCGGAAUCGCUAGUAAUCGUGGAUCAGAAUGCCACGGUGAAUACGUUCCCGGGCCUUGUACACACCGCCCGUCACACCAUGGGAGUGGGUUGCAAAAGAAGUAGGUAGCUUAACCUUCGGGAGGGCGCUUACCACUUUGUGAUUCAUGACUGGGGUGAAGUCGUAACAAGGUAACCGUAGGGGAACCUGCGGUUG
rnacentral:rRNA from 4 species